rnacentral:lncRNA from 1 species
UCCUGAUACAGGGAGGGCUGGGCCGGAGUAGGCUGGGGCUGGGGGGGCCUGGAGAGGAGAGAGGACAGAACUCAGUAUGGGGGUUCCUCCUGGCACCGGUCCUGGCAGAAAGUGCCUCUCCUGGGUCGAUGGGAUGGGCCUUGGAGAAUCCUCCUUCCUCCGUCCUUCUGCAUUAGAGCCCAGCUGGAACUCCAUGGGUGCUCAGGACUGAUCAGUGGCUCUGCACAGCCAGCUCC